GAAGUUGAACAUUUUCUCUCGAAGAAUCCGUUUGUAGACAUACACACUCAUUUAAUCUGGAGCUACGAAGUACUUUGUCACUUCUCUGGAACAUUAUUCUAAGCAGAAUUAUCUCGAUUCAUAUACUCUAAGAAUCUUGUGUGAAUUGUUUACGAGGAAAUUCUGACUGUCACAUUAACAAGGAUGAACACUCUUGACUCGGCUUCGGAUUCCCCAGUGAUAAUUUUAUCGAGUGCCGAAAGAGCUGACGGCGACAUUUUAAUGAAUGAUUGGCUUGGACCAUUGGAAUGAAGUCAUUUCAUGUCGUCACCACUUGGAAUGGUAUUAGCUACAAAUAUAGACUUGUACUCAGCACUCAUUGCCUUUAAGAAGUAUGAGAUCCAUUUUGUGCUAACACCUACCCUGACACAGAAUCUUGGUUUAUGCAGUCUCAUAGGAGUAACCUGUCUAAAGCAUUUAGCAAGGGGAUUGGAACCUGCGACGUGUGGCUCAUUUGAAGACUGAAUUUUGAUACCAAGCAUGACCAUGAUUUGCCAGAAGAUCAUCUGUUUGGAU